CCUAAUACAUGCAAGUCGAACGCUUUGUGGUUCAACUGAUUUGAAGAGCUUGCUCAGAUAUGACGAUGGACAUUGCAAAGAGUGGCGAACGGGUGAGUAACACGUGGGAAACCUACCUCUUAGCAGGGGAUAACAUUUGGAAACAGAUGCUAAUACCGUAUAACAAUAGCAACCGCAUGGUUGCUACUUAAAAGAUGGUUCUGCUAUCACUAAGAGAUGGUCCCGCGGUGCAUUAGUUAGUUGGUGAGGUAAUGGCUCACCAAGACGAUGAUGCAUAGCCGAGUUGAGAGACUGAUCGGCCACAAUGGGACUGAGACACGGCCCAUACUCCUACGGGAGGCAGCAGUAGGGAAUCUUCCACAAUGGGCGAAAGCCUGAUGGAGCAACGCCGCGUGUGUGAUGAAGGGUUUCGGCUCGUAAAACACUGUUGUAAGAGAAGAAUGACAUUGAGAGUAACUGUUCAAUGUGUGACGGUAUCUUACCAGAAAGGAACGGCUAAAUACGUGCCAGCAGCCGCGGUAAUACGUAUGUUCCAAGCGUUAUCCGGAUUUAUUGGGCGUAAAGCGAGCGCAGACGGUUAUUUAAGUCUGAAGUGAAAGCCCUCAGCUCAACUGAGGAAUUGCUUUGGAAACUGGAUGACUUGAGUGCAGUAGAGGAAAGUGGAACUCCAUGUGUAGCGGUGAAAUGCGUAGAUAUAUGGAAGAACACCAGUGGCGAAGGCGGCUUUCUGGACUGUAACUGACGUUGAGGCUCGAAAGUGUGGGUAGCAAACAGGAUUAGAUACCCUGGUAGUC
rnacentral:rRNA from 1 species